AUGGUCAAAAAGGGGCGUGUCAGGGGAGAAAAACAAAUUAAAAGCUGCAUGUUGUCAGGCAGGAUAAAAAAAAUAAAAAAAAAAAAGCAAGAGCCAAUUAUAACGUGCCUGCAAGAAACGUCCUUGACCGGUGAACACACAGGACGUCAAGAAAGUGCCAGAGUAGGGGCUCCCAGAAUCCCUCCCUCCACCGGAGCAACCAAUAAGCCGGCCACAAGGAACAGAAGCAACUGUUCUGGAACUCUGAGACGAAUGAGAAAACUCACAGGAACGGGCGUCUGUCCGCCCACCGUCCAGUUCCAUGACCGUGGAGACGGCAGGCUGUGGUCGUGGUGUGGCUUGUCGGAGGGAAGGGGAGGGGGUGUGUGCAAUGCAGACAGCGUGCUUCGAGAGUUUGUCGUUUUGUGUUGCGACCUGCUUGGUGGCUCUGGGAAGGAAUGGCUCAGCCACCUUGGUUUUGCAAGCGCCCCCCCCUCCGGUUGGGGUGCCAUUCUGGGUGGCGUCUGUUGAAAGCGUUUAGAAAGGCACACUAUGCAAAGCUGCUCUGGAGAAAGCGAGGGCAGAGGGGACAAGCAGAGGACGGGUCCUGAGCCCCGAGAAGGAGGAGACUGAAGGGGAACGUUCACAGGGAGAGAGCUUGGAAGGGGAGGAGGGGCGGUUAAUUUGAGGGGUUGACUUGUCUAAGCGACCUGUGUCCAGGUAUUAAUUUGGUCAAGCACCAGUCUGGAUAUUACUAGAAGGUAUUUUUUAGAUGAGACUAACAUUUAAAUCAGUAGAUUUGAGGCAAAUCGGGAUACCCUCCCUACAGAAUGUGGUGGGUGUCAUCCAAUCAGUAACAAAAUUCUGCCCCAGACUGCCUUUGGGCUGGAACUGUGACAAGUCUUCCCUGCGGCUCCAGCCCAGCGGCUCCCCCUGCAGAACUGGGACUUGUCAGUCCCCACCGCGGGGUGAGCCAGUUCCCUAAAAUUUCUCUCUCUGUCUCACCCUCUCCAGAUGCCCUUUGUUCCGUUUCUCUGGUGAACCCUGACCAAUC
rnacentral:lncRNA from 1 species